rnacentral:rRNA from 1 species
AUUGAACGCUGGCGGCAUGCCUUACACAUGCAAGUCGAACGGUAACAGGUCUUCGGAUGCUGACGAGUGGCGAACGGGUGAGUAAUACAUCGGAACGUGCCCGCUCGUGGGGGAUAACGAAGCGAAAGCUUUGCUAAUACCGCAUAAGAUCUACGGAUGAAAGCAGGGGACCGCAAGGCCUUGCUCGAACGGAGCGGCCGAUGGCAGAUUAGGUAGUUGGUGGGAUAAAAGCUUACCAAGCCGACGAUCUGUAGCUGGUCUGAGAGGACGACCAGUCACACUGGGACUGAGACACGUCCCAGAAUCCUACGGGAGGCAGCAGUGGGGAAUUUUGGACAAUGGGCGAAAGCCUGAUCCAGCCAUGCCGCGUGCAGGAUGAAGGCCUUCGGGUUGUAAACUGCUUUUGUACGGAACGAAAAGACUCUGGUUAAUACCUGGGGUCCAUGACGGUACCGUAAGAAUAAGCACCGGCUAACUACGUGCCAGCAGCCGCCGUAA